CUUAUUUCACUGCUGCUGUCACUUUCAUACUCUCGGACUGACAUUUCGACGGUCAGGGCUAAAGAAAAUUUUUGUCUGCACGAAGUCAAGGACUGCAAUAGACGGCUUAUUCGUAAUAGGAACACCGGCCACGAAUCCAUAAUGAAAACAAAACAGACUUGGCGCGUAACGUGUCGAAUGAAUGAAUGCCUAUGGGCGUGUCGUUCUAAACGUAAACUCUCUUCUACUGCGAUAAGAGACAUUGGCCCUACAAUACCAGCGCUUCUAAGUGGCGCGCGUGGCUUGACGGGGACUGCCUUCAAAAUCGGCAUGGCGCUCAACGGGUUAAAUUUGAAGCAUUCCUCCCGUGUGUGUUCUAUCCUUUUACAAUAUGUACAUUCCUUAGGGGGAGAGGACGUGUGUACGACACGUGUGGAUUUAUUUCUAUUGUUUCGAAAACGUGAUUCGUUAUAUCGUUCCUGAGAGGCGAGAGAUCUCUCCUACGUUCUUUCUCAUAUUCCAUCUUAGCGUAUAACUCUAAUGCCUGGUCGUAUGCGUCUGAGAGGUUUCUACAAAAACGCGGUAUUAUCAAACGAUGUUAUUAUUAUAUACUAUAUUACUUUGUAAGGUGAGAUCGUCGAUUUCGCAUUGUUUGUCUUCGGUUAAUCCCUGUCUACUGCGUAUCUCAUAUAUCAAGGCUUGGUACAAAUCUUUAACUCGUCCUAUGUAGUCUAUCAUUGAUUCGUUAUUACGCAUGAGAAUGUUUCGUAAUUCUGACCUAUAAUGUUCAUGCGUAGGAUAGGUUCCGAAGAUCUGACGUAAUCUAUUACACAGAAAGUUUAUUACACGGAAAAUUUCUAUAUCACAGUCCACGAUAGUUGUGUAUGCUACGCCUUUUGAGUUAUUGAUCAUAAGUUUACCAUUGGUGGCUGUGAUUACGGAAGUCGAGGGCAUCAUUUCUCGUGCUCUCCUACAAGCACGUAUGAAUGUGUUUACAGUCAUAUUCUUUCCGUCGAAUCGUGGCACGAUAUUCAUAGUCUCACGUAUAGAGUAAUUAUCGGUUAAUUCGCGAGACUCGUUCGUAUGUUUCUGUAUGAAGUGAAUCUCUUGUAAGAUUGUCGUUAACGCGUCCAUUUCAGGUUUUGGUACGUUUUCUUAUGCUCUACUGAAUGCUUCUUCACGUUCCGCAAGCAAAAUAAUGUUUGAAAUAGUAUAGGUGCCAGAAGUAGGCCCAGAGGAAAUGAAUAAUGAAUUUAGUACUAGUGGAAAUCCAAGUGAAUAUGGUACUUGAGAAAGGCGCCAGGAUGAUUCCAUGAAAAGAACACAUUACGAAUUAGAUAGGCGAACUGACGAAUUGGUCAUCAAAGUGUGAACGAAGAAGAGAGCGAUGAAGUUAACGGGAAAUAUAAAAGGCAAAGAAGAGAAAGCUGUUACAAUUCAAAAAUUACAAAAAGGAAAGAAAAAAAGCAGUGGAAUUUGUUAAGUGUGUAAAUUCGUAAUAUGUAAGUUAGGCAUAAAUGGUAAUUAUUAUUGUAAACUGGAUUAUGAAUAUGUGUGAA